rfam:Pantoea wallisii strain LMG 26277 Contig0006_, whole genome shotgun sequence.
CGCCGCGCACAGUGCGUGGCGUUCCUUUUCUACUGCAACAAGGGGUCUGCCCGUG